rnacentral:rRNA from 1 species
CGGCAGGCCUAAUACAUGCAAGUCGAACGGCAGCACAGCAGAGCUUGCUCUGUGGGUGGCGAGUGGCGGACGGGUGAGGAAUACAUGGGAAUCUGCCCAGUCGUGGGGAUAACGUAGGGAAACUUACGCUAAUACCGCAUGCGCCCUUCGGGGGAAAGCCGGGGACCUUCGGGCCUGGCGCGAUUGGAUGAGCCCAUGUCGGAUUAGCUAGUUGGCGGGGUAAUGGCCCACCAAGGCGACGAUCCGUAGCUGGGUCUGAGAGGAUGAUCAGCCACACUGGAACUGAGACACGGUCCAGACUCCUACGGGAGGCAGCAGUAGGGAGUAUUGGACAAUGGGCGCAAGCCUGAUCCAGCCAUGCCGCGUGAGUGAAGAAGGCCCUCGGGUUGUAAAGCUCUUUUGUCCGGAAAGAAAAGCGCCGGGUUAAUACCCUGGUGUCCUGACGGUACCGGAAGAAUAAGCACCGGCUAACUUCGUG